GGUGCUUUGCUCUGUCUAUCCCAUACUUUGUAAAGGAUCAUCUGAUGGUCGGCUUAGAUGUUAAUAUGCCUGGUGUUUUUAAAUGAUUCCUUUUAACUGAUUCAUUUGCCAGGAAGUUUGGCAUUUGGCAAAAAUGACUCAGAAAAUGAAAGACCAUCAAUAUUUUCUCUAUGGCAGCAAGUGAGUAGAGGUAGGUGUAGACAAAGAUUUCAGCUGUUGAUUGGGUAUUGCACAAUCUGAAGAUCUGCAUGAUUCAGGAGACAGAGGCAGAAAAGGGAACGUGCCUGCAGUCUGAUAUCCAGGGGUUGCUGCUUUUUGCUCUGGAGUCUCUGCACCCUGCUGAACCUCAGGCUCUUCAUAUUUCUAUUUUAACAUCUACAAAAACAAAGGCAGCCUUCUAGAACAAAGACCACUUUUUUCCAAGGGAGGAGGACCACAGCUCUGCCAUGGGGAAAGACAGCAACUUCUGUGCAGACAGCAGCCUUGAGUAAAACAUCCAUCUGAGCAACACUACAGGCAAAAAAAAAGAUCCUGAAGACUUCAUGAUGAUGUUGACUUAUUUCUUCUCUAACUGUCCAAUUAGUCAUGAUGCUACACAGGGAGAUAUUAGUGCCAUAUGGAAUGCAAGAUGCUGAAGACACCAAGCUUUUCCUCUCUCUCAUGAAGAACAGGUCUACCUUGCAAGCUAGUAAAAAUGUUCUGGGGGAGCGGGAUAUGGAGGAUGAGGGAGAGGAUGAGCAGCAGAAUUCCUGUGUCCCCACCCUGGAGUCUUUGGGUGUCAUCUGCUCCUGCGGGCAGGAAGAGAGACUUGAGCCAGGUCACCCUCCAUGGAGUCACCUGUGGGGAGGUCAGCACACAAACCAGAUCUGCCUGAUGGGCAAACAGCUGAUCCUCCUUGCCCUGCAGGGACUGUCCGGCACCUGCUGAAGGCUUCUUAAUUUGAUACUGAGCAUUCCACCCCUCACUCCCCAGCCCAUCCAUCCCCUGACUGGCAGCUCUGGCUCUUGCCCGACAAAGAAACUUUGCCAGAUAAAGAUUUUUUCCCCUUCCUUUGAGGAUUUCUGAGACUUCAAAAAAUGCUUCCUUCUCCUAAUAGAAACAACAACUUUUAUAAAUCUAGGGAUGUUUUUUUCUGUGGUUUUUUUUUUUGGUGGUUUUAUUUUCUUUUUUUUUUCCCUUGAGGACAAAAUCUGAAGAGCAUAAAACUUUUGCUUUAAAAAUGACAAAAUAUAACAGAAAGUUAAACCAUUCUUGUUGCUGCUGUUUUUUCUCCAAAUGAAAUAUAAAUUGAGACAGAACAUUUCACACAUAGGGAUUAGGUUUUAACACACAGUUUCUUUGUCUGCAGUUAGUAGAAAACAGCACCUUGAGUAAAGCAUUCAUCCCAUUUUUAUACACUUUUGGCAAUCUGCUCUUUGAAACUUCU
rnacentral:lncRNA from 1 species